AUCGAACGCUGGCGGCAGGCCUAACACAUGCAAGUCGAACGAGUGGCGGACGGGUGAGCAAUUGCUGGAAAACUGCCUGAUGUAGGGGGCUAACUACUGGAAACGGUAGCUAAUACCGCAUACCAUCGGAUCUGCCCAGAGUGGAUUAGCUAGUAGGUGGGGUAAAGUCUCACCUAGGCGACGAUGCCUAGCUGGGCUGAGAGGAUGACCAGCCACACUGGAACCGAGACACGGUCCAGACUCCUACGGGAGGCAGCAGUGGGGAAUAUUGCACAAUGGGCGCAAGCCUGAUGGAGCCACGCCGCGUGUAUGAAGAAGGCCUUCGGGUUGUAAAGUACUGUCAGCGGGGAGGCGGUACCCACAGAAGAAGCCCCGGCUAACUCCGUGCCAGCAGCCGCGGUAAUUC
rnacentral:rRNA from 1 species